UAAGUCUUAUAAAAUAUAUAGAUUUAUGAUAAUUAAGACUGAGCUAACAGAUAAGAAAUCCUAUUCAUUGGCCAAACAGCAUUUGUACUUAAUAUAAGUCUCUGUAUGUGACUUGGGACCUUAACAUUGUGGCGGGCGGACCAUGGGAGGCCAGGGAGCAAGUGCCCACGUGGCUGCAGGACUCGGGCAGCUUGGAAUAAAGCCUUAUUGCUACAGACCACAGCCCACUACAGCAAUCUCAUAAAAAUAUUAUUCUAAUUCUGAGGUAGACAGCUAUCUUUUUCGGUCAGGGCUACUCACCCUGCUUCUCUACUUCUGGAGGAAAAGCUUCCAUUGAAUCUUCACUUCAGUCUUCCUACUCUGUUUCAGAUUUAUUUCCAAUAUUAGUGAGGUGGAAGUCCCUGUCAUCACCACAAGACUUCAGAGACAACUUGACCUGCUGCUGUGACCUUUCCUGCCAUGAUGCACUUUGCCUUCAAUCUGUGAGACAAAACAAAUCCUUUCUACCUUAAGUUGAUUUUUAAAAUAUUUUGUUUUUAUGUACUUGUCUAUUUAUUGUGUGGGGGGUGGUGGUGGUGGUGCCAGUUUAUAUGUCUGUGCACCAUGUACAUGCAAUGCCCAAGAAGGCCAGAAGAGGGUGUCAGAUCUUCGGGGACUGAAGUUGUGAGCUGCCAUGUGAAUGCUGGGACUUAAGACCUGGGUCCUUAGAAGAACAAAAAAAUGCUCUUAAUCAUCGAGGCAUUCCAGCCACCAUGCACUUUUCAGUUGUUUUUGUCUUCUCUAAAUCCCUUGGGGAUAGCUCUCCAAGCUUGCCCAAGGGAAGGGUGGAGCCAGCUCUCUGGAGUGGUGUACCACAGCCAGAGAUGGACAGGGUCAGCUCUUCCCACCUCCUCUCCUCACCUAUUGCAAACAGGAUAGCUGACAUGAGAGCAGGAGAGAAGUUUCUGCACUUUGCCAGCUAAAGCACUUGGCAGAGCAAGCCCCAUGCUUUACCUGGGCACAGUAGAGCUGGCCUCGAUGGUAACAGCACAGGUGAGCCGGCCCUGAGGGCAUGAUAGCUGGAGAGUUGGUCCCACUCCGCUCCUGGGUAGUGUGGGAGAGCUGGCUCCACCUCUUGCUAGGGUGAUAUAGAAGAGCUGCCCUUUGCUAGUUGCAACACUCAGGAGAGCAGGCUGUAUACCUCCUCUGGGCAUGUGGUACACCUAGCCCUUGGGGUAUGAAGAGCAGGCCUGAGGGCAUGAAAAUAGGAGACCUGGCCCCACACCUUCCUGCUGUAACCUUCUGGUGGAUCCUGUCCCACCCCUUGCCAGCUGCCACACUCAGGACAGCUGCCUCCCCCCAUCCCCACCACACCACCUGGACAAAACAGAAAAUCUGGCCCCGGGGCACCAGGUGCAGAACAGACAGCCUGACCAACUCAGCUAUGACCGCAGCCCAGAUCCAGGGCUUUGAGUUGGCCAGCUCCAACAUCUACCCCAUCCAUGAACUGCUGGAGCUCAAGGAGGGGCAAGUCCUGCGGAUCCAAAGCUCCGGAUCUCCACAGGGCAACAACAGGACAUCAGAAAGGAGUCCAGGCAGCAUCCAGUAUUGACAGUGUCAGAAGCCAGAGGCCUCAAUGCAGACCAAUGACUCAUUAAGAGGUAUUUGGAGGCACAGGAGACGUGUCUGUCUAUAGAGGCGGUUGCCAUCAAAGUCUGCUGACCUGAGUCCACUCCCACAUGGUAAAAGGAAAGAAUCAACUCCAGCAAGCUGUCUUUUGACUGCCACACAUUUAUUGUGGUGUAUAUAUACACACACACACAUUUUCAAAAACAGUCAUAAAAAGAUGUUUGCACUCUCAUGUUUAUUGUAGUACUAUAUAUAGCAGUCAAGAUAUAGGAAUGCCCUAAAUUUCCAGCUCUGUAUGGAAGGAGAAAUAAAUCAUGGCAUGAAUAUAUAGUUAGAUACUUUUCCACCUUAAAAAAAUAAAAAGGGUAUUCUGACCUAUGUGAUGCUGUGAGUGAAACUUGAGGGUAUGCUGAAUGAAAUGGGACAGUUACAGAGGGUUGAAACUAAGAGUGAUCCCUGUGUCACACAAAGGAACAUAAGGACAAAGUGAAAGCCCAGCAAGGCCAUUUCUUUUGUGAAAAAUGAGAAACCACUAAAACGAGACUGACAAGGGCAGGGGGCUCACUUGGAUUUUUCAACACUGGCGGUGGCUGCUUUUUCUCAUAGGCUGGAGUCCAACCUCACAGUUUUUUGGGAUUGUUUGUUCAAAAAGACUUGCUGCCAAGGAAAUGAAGGAAAGGGGAGAGGGUUAGCCAUUCCAGGCCCUCACGUUCCAGGCGUUAGGUGGGGAUGGGGUGUGUGUGAGGGCUUUAGGGAAGCAGACGUUUUACAAGGUGUGGAAGAUUUAAGAUGUGGGGGAGAUUUAUAGAUAUUGGCCACUGGUGAGUUAGCUAGCAUUGAUAGAAAACAAAUUUUCUCAAAGGACAGAUAUAUUAGGUUCCAAAAAUGGUCAAAUUUGGAGAAACGUGGCAAAGAAUGUUUUCCAUGAGUGUGAUGGGAGGGAAAUGAGAAACUAUGACAGGACCACAGACCUUAACACAGCUGAUUCCAUGAUGAAAGCACCAUUCAGGUGGUAAAACUCUGAACGUAGACAGCACCACCUGCCAGAAUGAAGACAAAGACCUAAUCCAUCCAAGUCAUAGUUCCUGGAAGUCUCUAAAUGUACUCACCUUGCCUCUUGGCUUCUGUAUCUCCACUUCUGGCUAACUGUUCUUGUUAACUGAAGUGUGCAAACUCAGAACAUGGGAUUUGUCUUUAAAAGCUCACCCUGAGAAAGGCUCAGGGCUACACUGAGGGCUACACUCGGGGCUAACACCUAAUGUAAUUUUUGGCCAGUUAAUAAAGACUUUCUGUUGGCUUAAA